rnacentral:rRNA from 1 species
CCUACGGGAGGCAGCAGUGGGGAAUAUUGCGCAAUGGGCGAAAGCCUGACGCAGCGACGCCGCGUGAGGGAUGAAGGUCUUCGGAUCGUAAACCUCUGUCAGCAGGGAAGAACGGUCACUGUGCUAAUCAGCAGUGAAUUGACGGUACCUGCAAAGGAAGCACCGGCUAACUCCGUGCCAGCAGCCGCGGUAAUACGGAGGGUGCGAGCGUUAAUCGGAAUUACUGGGCGUAAAGCGCUCGUAGGCGGUAUGUCAAGUCAAGGGUGAAAUCCCCGGGCUCAACGUUGGAACUUCCUUUGAAACUGGCAAACUGGAGUGUGUGAGAGGAUAGUGGAAUUCCAGGUGUAGGAGUGAAAGCCGUAGAUAUCUGGAGGAACAUCAGUGGCGAAGGCGACUAUCUGGCACAUAACUGACGCUGAGGAGCGAAAGCGUGGGUAGCAAACAGGAUUAGAUACCCCAGUAGUC